rnacentral:rRNA from 1 species
UACAGAGGUCCCAAGCGUUGUUCGGAUUCAUUGGGCGUAAAGGGUGCGUAGGUGGCCGGGUAAGUUGGAUGUGAAAUCCCGGGGCUCAACCCCGGAACUGCAUUCAAUACUGCCCUGCUAGAGUACUGGAGAGGAGAUUGGAAUUCAUGGUGUAGCAGUGAAAUGCGUAGAUAUCAUGAGGAAGACCAGUGGCGAAGGCGGAUCUCUGGACAGUUACUGACACUGAGGCACGAAGGCCAGGGGAGCAAACGGG